rnacentral:rRNA from 1 species
CUCGUAGGCGGCCAACUAAGUCAGACGUGAAAUCCCCAGGCUCAACCUGGGAACUGCGUCUGAUACUGGAUGGCUUGAAUCCGGGAGAGGGAUGCAGAAUUCCAGGUGUAGCGGUGAAAUGCGUAGAUAUCUGGAGGAAUACCGGUGGCGAAGGCGGCAUCCUGGACCGGCAUUGACGCUGAGGAGCGAAAGCCGAGGGGAGACGAAACG